UGAAAUACCACUCUGAUCGUAUUGGGCCUCUAACCUCGAACCGUAUAUCCGGUUCAGGGACAGUGCCUGGUGGGUAGUUUAACUGGGGCGGUUGCCUCCUAAAAUGUAACGGAGGCGCCCAAAGGUUACCUCAACCUGGACGGCAAUCAGGUGUUGAGUGUAAGUGCACAAGGGAGCUUGACUGCGAGACGGACAUGUCGAGCAGGGACGAAAGUCGGGACUAGUGAUCCGGCACCUCUGAGUGGAAGGGGUGUC
rnacentral:rRNA from 1 species